GACUGACCGAUAGUGAACCAGUACCGUGAGGGAAAGGCGAAAAGAACCCCGGCGAGGGGAGUGAAAAAGAACCUGAAACCGUGUACGUACAAGCAGUGGGAGCACAGAGCAAUCUGUGUGACUGCGUACCUUUUGUAUAAUGGGUCAGCGACUUAUAUUCUGUAGCAAGGUUAACCGAAUAGGGGAGCCGAAGGGAAACCGAGUCUUAACUGGGCGUUAAGUUGCAGGGUAUAGACCCGAAACCCGGUGAUCUAGCCAUGGGCAGGUUGAAGGUUGGGUAACACUAACUGGAGGACCGAACCGACUAAUGUUGAAAAAUUAGCGGAUGACUUGUGGCUGGGGGUGAAAGGCCAAUCAAACCGGGAGAUAGCUGGUUCUCCCCGAAAGCUAUUUAGGUAGCGCCUCGUGAAUUCAUCUCCGGGGGUAGAGCACUGUUUCGGCAAGGGGGUCAUCCCGACUUACCAACCCGAUGCAAACUGCGAAUACCGGAGAAUGUUAUCACGGGAGACACACGGCGGGUGCUAACGUCCGUCGUGAAGAGGGAAACAACCCAGACCGCCAGCUAAGGUCCCAAAGUCAUGGUUAAGUGGGAAACGAUGUGGGAAGGCCCAGACAGCCAGGAUGUUGGCUUAGAAGCAGCCAUCAUUUAAAGAAAGCGUAAUAGCUCACUGGUCGAGUCGGCCUGCGCGGAAGAUGUAACGGGGCUAAACCAUGCACCGAAGCUGCGGCAGCGACACUAUGUGUUGUUGGGUAGGGGAGCGUUCUGUAAGCCUGUGAAGGUGUACUGUGAGGUAUGCUGGAGGUAUCAGAAGUGCGAAUGCUGACAUAAGUAACGAUAAAGCGGGUGAAAAGCCCGCUCGCCGGAAGACCAAGGGUUCCUGUCCAACGUUAAUCGGGGCAGGGUGAGUCGACCCCUAAGGCGAGGCCGAAAGGCGUAGUCGAUGGGAAACAGGUUAAUAUUCCUGUACUUGGUGUUACUGCGAAGGGGGGACGGAGAAGGCUAUGUUGGCCGGGCGACGGUUGUCCCGGUUUAAGCGUGUAGGCUGGUUUUCCAGGCAAAUCCGGAAAAUCAAGGCUGAGGCGUGAUGACGAGGCACUACGGUGCUGAAGCAACAAAUGCCCUGCUUCCAGGAAAAGCCUCUAAGCAUCAGGUAACAUCAAAUCGUACCCCAAACCGACACAGGUGGUCAGGUAGAGAAUACCAAGGCGCUUGAGAGAACUCGGGUGAAGGAACUAGGCAAAAUGGUGCCGUAACUUCGGGAGAAGGCACGCUGAUACGUAGGUGAAGUCCCUCGCGGAUGGAGCUGAAAUCAGUCGAAGAUACCAGCUGGCUGCAACUGUUUAUUAAAAACACAGCACUGUGCAAACACGAAAGUGGACGUAUACGGUGUGACGCCUGCCCGGUGCCGGAAGGUUAA
rnacentral:rRNA from 1 species